UUAAAGGCAGUGCUUUAAGGCCUGACUUUUAAGUCAUGAGGUUCAUCUUUUCAUACGCAAUCCAUGCUGGGGGUCUUUUGGCCAGAAAUAGAUCCGGAAAUGUUCGAAUUUCUCCUCUUCUUUUUAUGGUAUGAUAUGGUUUUUGUUUCUUUCAUUUACAUUGGGGACUAAAGAAACGAUCAGUGUGUACUGUUCGUUUUAUAGAACUUGUUAUAAGUGUGUAUUUUGCAUUAUAAGCAGUCAACCUGACUACAAACUAUCAAUAGUUGUAUAUUCCGUGUGGAAAGAGGUCGGGUCAAUUUCAAGUGUUAUCUGACAUCUAAAGAUUCUUUAAUUAGUUCAGACGUUGAUAUAACAAUGAAAAGUCGACUGAACAUGAUUAAUAUUGCAUCUUCUAUAAUUCAAAGCGGAAUUCGGUUUAUGAACGAGAAACCGUUAAGCGUUUUCAAUUUCGGUAUUAGUUAUGUAUGUUAACUACGUAUUAUCCUGGUUCCCGGUACUACGUUCCGGGUAUUAGCUAUUUGAUAUAUUUGAUGUGUAACAUUACAAUCGGGUACCAGCCAAUCUACGUGUGUAUGUGUACAUGAUUUACCGCCAAAAUGACCGACUUAAAAAAUAGUCCAUAAACGUUCCGUAUAAUGAUAUGCAAAUUCAUAAUUAAUCGUAACUUUUUUUAUCUUUGUAUAAUUAAUAUAACAAAAUGGAUUCCACAAAAUUGAAAAUAGCAUUAUUUUACGAGGAUUUCUCAUAUUUUUUUCACUUCCGGCGCAGUAAUUCGUAUGUUUUGAAGAAGCUCGAAGAAUUUGACAAAGUGAAUUGAGAAGGAAACGGAUAGAUAUACGUUCUUGCUAUCAGGGCACAAACACACUUUAAAGAGACUUGUCUACUGCCAUACCCAUCCUAUUUUCAUGCACCAUUUGCAAGCAAGAGACUGAAUGGUUUGCAAAAUUAAAAAUCAGGACGGUGUCCAAUUAAAACAAAAGAACUAAACUGGAUGAAUAUUGUAGGAGAAAUCUAGACAUGCUAGAGGAAAGUUUUGAUUUGUGAAAUUGGUUUUCCUGAAAAGUCAUUCAUCCUAGCCUGCAGAAAGGAACUAUAACUGUCCACCACCAACUGACGAGCUAAUGUUGAGCUUCACAUAUGGAAUUACUCAAAUACCAUCAAUGUCUAUGUUUUCAGCACAAAUUUCACAAUUUAUGACACAGCUGUGCUUUUUUUUAUACCGUUAAAGAGUUGUAUACCAAAUUUUAUUUUUUUAUCAAUAAAUAUAUAUUAUAUUAA